ensembl:lncRNA
CCUUCAUGUAGUUGAAAACGAGAAGCUGAAAAGUGCUGUUCUUGAUCUGAAGAAACAAAAUGAAGCACAAGUGGAGGUUAGGAAAGGAAAUGUUGUAUUCAAAGAUUGGAGAAAGAGAUGAGAGCUUUGGGAGAGCAACACCAGAGGGAGAUGGAUGACUGUGCUAAAGAGAUGCAGAGGAAAUUUCAGUGCUAAGCUUGCAAGGGCCCAGAGUGUGUCAGUCAUGACCCAACAGCAGCCAC